UGGGGAAUAUUGCACAAUGGGCGAAAGCCUGAUGCAGCAACGCCGCGUGAGUGAUGAAGGUCUUCGGAUUGUAAAGCUCUGUCUUUUGGGACGAUAAUGACGGUACCAAAGGAGGAAGCCACGGCUAACUACGUGCCAGCAGCCGCGGUAAUACGUAGGUGGCGAGCGUUGUCCGGAUUUACUGGGCGUAAAGGGUGCGUAGGCGGAUGUUUAAGUGAGAUGUGAAAUA
rnacentral:rRNA from 1 species